rnacentral:rRNA from 1 species
UACGGGGGGGGCAAGCGUUGUUCGGAAUUACUGGGCGUAAAGGGCGUGUAGGCGGCCAACUAAGUCCGACGUGAAAUCCCCAGGCUUAACCUGGGAACUGCGUCUGAUACUGGAUGGCUUGAGUUUGGGAGAGGGAUGCGGAAUUCCAGGUGUAGCGGUGAAAUGCGUAGAUAUCUGGAGGAACACCGGUGGCGAAGGCGGCAUCCUGGACCAAUACUGACACUGAGGAGCGAAAGCCAGGGGAGCAAACGGG